GUUCGAGUAACUUAAAGUUUUUAAAUGAAAAUGAUUAAAAAAAAUCGUUUAAAUAUAUAUUAAUAAUCUUUAAAAUUUAUAUCGUUAAAAUUGUUUUUUAUACUCGCGUGAUUUAUAAUAACGAUCUCAAAAGUUUUCCCACAAUUACCACCCACUUCUAUCACCGAUCAAUCUUACAUGGGCUUGAUCCUUAAUCGUAGAGAGAAAAAAGUUAGAACACUGUGGGCAUCGUGAUGGUGGUCGCGUGCAUGAUCCAUCGACGCACGUGAUUCCUGAUGUGCGAUCGGAAGGGAAAACGCCUUUCGACGAGCCUACUGAGAAAUUGAUAGCUCAACCGAGUUCACACCACCGACACGUGCUCUACGACUUGGCUGUAAAAGUGCCCUCGUAAUUGAGAUAUCAUGAUCGCUUUCACGCCAACGACAGAUUCUUAAACUAAUUCCGUGACGAAGACACGUGCCAACGGAAUAAGCAAAAAACGAAAGCGACGCUCUGCGGCUAAACGGCAAACAUUACAUGUCGUCCCGAUGUGCGAUAUCAACCACAACACGUGCCGUUCUCCGACGCUUGUCACCGAACGCCCACGCGUGCUAAUAUUUGCGUGAUAAAUUCUCUCCUCUUCUUCGAUGUAUUUUCUACGGAGUGUAAACUCAUCGAUAAUCGGAGAACCCGAUACAAGAACCCGAUCAACUAAAAAACAGAUGGAGUUUUGUAUUAUUACUCUUCAUGAUCCGACGAAAAGCUUAGGCUACUUGAUUUGUGUAAAUAUUACUCAUAAACUGAACUACAAGACUUUAAACGAAUGGGAGAGAAAAAAAAGAUCGAUAUAUGACGGACAUGAAGUACUAUGCAAAAGAAAGAAAGGAGAAAAUUGUAAAGUUGAUUACACCAGAAAUGCAUUGAUUGAGUGAUUUGUGAUUGUGUUCCGUGUUCCUUGUUCUAUGUUCCCUAUCCUGUGUUUCAUGCUCUGUGUUCCCUGUUUUGUGUUCUAUGUUCAUACAAAUGGCGCGAUGGAUGCAUGCUUUAUAUAAAUCAAGCAGUCUAUAUUCAAACUCCGAUCGCGGAAAAUAAUUUUAUUUCAUAAAUUUCAGCGGUUCUCAAUUUUCUGAUGCAUGGAUGAUAUUUAAGCACUUUUCCAAAUAAUCGAUCAUAUAGCAUAAACAAAUUCUAUAGCGGUAAAACAUUUACUUUACACAUUAAAUUCAUGUACGAGCUGAAGCAAUGUGAAUGCGAAUACUUGCUAUAUAUAUUAUACUAUAUUACUUCUCAAGCUAAAUAUUAUAUUUCAUAUGUUCGAAUGCUUGACGAAGGAAUAUACUAGUA